AGUGAAAACAAGUUACAAGCAUGUGCUCCUUACAUAGCUAAGGUCAACCCAUAUAUUUUAUUAGUGAAUAUAGUUUUUAAAUCCUUGGUGAAAAAUCACAGGAAGAAAAGGUGGAUAAUCUACCAACAAAGCAUCCAUCAGUGACAAGAAUCACUGUCAGUUAAUUUAAGGUAACAUAAGGUUACCUUAAAUUAUAAUUUCAUUUCUAUUAUUAUUAUUUUUCAGUCGUUUAUUUUCUACAUUUACAUUUAUAGCUGUAUAGCUGGUAUUUUUAGAUUUGUUUUUAUUGAUUUUUUUUUGCAAAUAUUGCUGCUAGGGAGUUGCUUCUAAUUUCGUUGAACAUCUGAUGUUUAGUGGUUAGCACUGUUCCCUCAAAGCAAGAAGGUCCUGACCAGGGCAUGCUCCAGCUUCCUCUUACAGUCUAAACACAUGCAGUUAGUAGGUUUAGGUUAAUUGGCUAAUGAUCUGAAAUGCUUGUAGAUGUGAUGUGCUGUUUGUCUCUCUGUGUUAGCAAUGCAACAAGCUGCUGACCUGUUCAUAUCCAGUGACCCUGAACAAGAUAAACAGUAAAAAUCGAUGGGUCGACAGUUAAGUUGUUAAGUUGUAGGAAGAAAAUUGCCAAGAGCAAACAUGGGAACUAGAGUGAAGUUUUAAAUUGUUAGUGAAAAAAAUAAAUAAAGAUAUGAACUCUGAAAACAAGAAAAAAAAUGGAAGAAAGAAUUUUAAAGAUAUGACUCAAACAGUUAAAAUAGUUUUGCUUUCUGUGGCUGUAUUUUGACUAAAGAUUAACCUACCGAUCAGUUUAGCAGAGUAAUAAAGCAAAGCUUUAUUAAAUUAUUUAUUAAUAUUAUCUACGCUGGGGAGCUGCUAAGAUGCUGCUGAAGAACAUAUGUCAAAUUAAUAAAGCCAAAAGUCAGAGUAUGAAUUUGUAGUGUAUGGAUCGUUAGCCAAAUUGGUAUUAUAGGGUGCAGUGGUAGUGCAAGAAAUACAGAAACUGAAUUGUUAAAUAUUAAGAACAACCAUAAAGCACCAGAUUUGGUCCAGGAACAUCACAGGCACAGGGAUUACAGCGAUUACAUUCAGAUUUUCACAGAUGGGUCUAAGGAGCCACAGACAGCAAC
ensembl:lncRNA